GUAGCGGCGAGUGAAGCGGCAAAAGCUCAAAUUUGAAAUCUGGUACUUUCAGUAUCCGAGUUGUAAUUUGUAGAAGCAACUUUGGUGAUGGUCUUUGCAUAAGUUCCUUGGAAUAGGACGUCAUAGAGGGUGAGAAUCCCGUAUAUGGUGAAGAACCCACACUAUGUAAAGUGCUUUCGAAGAGUCGAGUUGUUUGGGAAUGCAGCUCAAAGUGGGUGGUAAAUUCCAUCUAAAGCUAAAUAUUGGCGAGAGACCGAUAGCGAACAAGUACUGUGAAGGAAAGAUGAAAAGAACUUUGAAAAGAGAGUGAAAAAGUACGUGAAAUUGUUGAAAGGGAAGGGAUCUAAAUCAGACAUGGUAUUUUGUGAUCAACAGUCUUUCGGGAUUGUGCACUCGCAUUUUACUAGGCCAGCAUCGGUUAGAAGGGGGUAAAAAAGAUUUUGGAAUGUGGCUCCUCGGAGUGUUAUAGCCAAAGUUAAUUGCCCCAUUUCUGACCGAGGACCGCGUCUUUUGACUAGGAUGCUGGCGUAAUGGUUUUG
rnacentral:rRNA from 1 species